ensembl:lncRNA
CCUUUAUCUUAUGGCAGAGGUCCGUCGGUGCCAGGUCCAUCGGUGCCACCAUUACACUUUCACCUUUUAUCAUGCCAUUACACUUUGUACUGACCAUCCUCCAAACAUGGCAUCACUGUUUUGUUUACACCUUUUAUCUCUACAUCUCAGAGGUCACCUGAAACAAGCCCCACCUAUAUAAAAGGCCAUAAUCAGGCACACUGUAUUUUCCCUCACUACAUUACAUCGGUCAUUGAGAGCAUAACACUUCGUUCAUCAGCACGGACAACAACCCUAAGAGCGUUCUUUUUAACAUGGACAGCGUAUAUGCCUGAUUUUUAGGAACUUGGUACACAUGGACACCCCAAGCGGGACUUACACAAGGAUCACAAAGCUAUAUAGGGCAAACAACACCUCUAAAAAACACAAGGAUCAAUAAGUUGUCCAGAAAAACCUACAGAAGCGGAGGAAAUAAGACCAAGCCUUACGUUAGG